GCGCCCGUAGCUCAGAAGGAUAGAGCAGCGGUUUCCUAAACCGUUGGUCGGGGGUUCGAGUCCCUCCGGGCGCA
rnacentral:tRNA from 1 species